GAUGAACGCUGGCGGCGUGCCUAAUACAUGCAAGUCGAGCGAACGGACGAGAAGCUUGCUUCUCUGAUGUUAGCGGCGGACGGGUGAGUAACACGUGGAUAACCUACCUAUAAGACUGGGAUAACUUCGGGAAACCGUAGCUAAUACCGGAUAAUAUUUUGAACCGCAUGGUUCAAAAGUGAAAGACGGUCUUGCUGUCACUUAUAGAUGGAUCCGCGCUGCAUUAGCUAGUUGGUAAGGUAACGGCUUACCAAGGCAACGAUGCAUAGCCGACCUGAGAGGUGGAUCGGCCAACUGGGAAAUGGGCACCGUGCCAACACCCAAAGGGGGGAAGGAGGAGGGAACCUCCCGCAAGGGGGGAAAGCCUGAGGGAGCAACGCCGGGGGGGUGAUGAAGUCUUUGGGAUCGUAAAACCCUUUUUUUGGGGAAAAAAAAAUGUUAAAGGAAUGGUGACAAUCUUGAGGGUACCAAAUCAAAAAGCCCGGGCUAACUACGG
rnacentral:rRNA from 1 species